UGUCAUAUUUUCAUACAGCUCGCAGCUUUAUUUCAAUGCGUUUUGCCAUUUGCUAAUUUUGUGCCACUGGGACGAAUUUAACAACUGAUAGCUUGAAAUUGAUUUUAUGAAAGCCAUGAAUUCACCUUUCGUGGCAUGAUUAAGUGAUAGUUUUGUGGUUUUGGUGAAUUGUGAAAGUUUUCAAGAACAAAACGGUUUUGAACCUGAAACUUGACCCAAAGAAAACUAACCCCAGAACGAUGUGCUGAUUACUGAAACCUCGAAGGAACAACAGAGAAAAGACAAGAGCUUACAUCUUACGUCGAUAGUAAACAGACACAAUUAACUUCUGAGUAAAAAGUGGAAACAUUGAAGACUAUUUUGUCUGGAUUUAUUUUGGGAAGAAACAAAGAAAAUCACAAAAUCCAUGUUUGAGAGGAAAACUCUUGGGACUGACUCCAAUUGGAGUCACUAAUUGAAGGUAAAACGUUGUCAAGACAAGAUGAUGCGUUCAAGGCAACACUCGAGCAACUUGGGAAGAAACAGGCUAAUCUGUGAAGCUGCGAGAUUAUACAGAUAAAGAAGAGUUUUUGGACUGUUUGGAAGUUAUUUUCCUUUUAUUAAAUUGAGUUCACAUGCCGAAAAAAAAAUAGUUAAGGUCUGGUUACUGAAGUUUCGUCAUUUUGCACUUUUUCUCGAGCAUCAAAUCAAAGCAUGUAUCAGUUUAAACAGUUUAUUCCGGGCAUUUAACCCUUAUUUUAGCGUAUUUUUGCUUCACCCGAAAAUGCCACAAUUAGCACUUUUCCUGCAAAAAAAUUGCUUAUAAUAAAUUUUAAUUUUGAUGCCUAUCUUUCCGCGGAGUUCAUUGUUUUGUUUCUGGCUCCAUUUUCGGCCAUAACGAUAAGGUUUUGUUUGCCUUUAAUUUUGAGUGGGUUUUAUGGUCUUUUCUCCACCAAAUUACUUUAAAUUGCAACCGCAAAGUAAAU